GACGAACGCUGGCGGCGUGCCUAAUACAUGCAAGUAGGACGCAGUUGCGAACGGGUGAGUAACGCGUAGGUAACUACCUAUUAGAGGGGGAUAACUAUUGGAAACGAUAGCUAAUACCGCCUACUAGUAGAUGGACCUGCGUUGUAUUAGCUAGUAGGUCGGGUAAUGGCCUACCUAGGCAACGAUACAUGGCCGAGCCUGGAGGGGGACCGGCCAAACUGGGAAUGAGGAACGGGCCAGAACCCUACGGGAGGGAGCAGUAGGGAAUCAUCGGCAAUGGGGGGAACCCUGACCGAGCAACGCCGCGGGAGUGAAGAAGGGUUUCGGAUCGUAAAGCUCUGUUGUUCAGGAAGCGGUACUUAACCAGAAAGGGACGGCUAACUACGUGCCAGCAGCCGCGGUAAUAC
rnacentral:rRNA from 1 species